CUAUUAUAUUGGAGUUGGUCGUAGGUCAUACAACGCGUUUGGUGAAGGAGAUUAAGAAGAUCCGCACCGUCUAAAAUUUCACCAAUGGAUCCGAUCUUUGGAUUGUCAAAAUUGGCCGUAUGCAGUCCCAUCUUCCGCCCCGCAGGAGCCAAUCUCGCCGUGAUUGAUGCGUCACGCAAUUCAGGGAGGUCCUCACGCGGCUUCCCUCUUCCCUCGCACGCUCUCUCCUCCCUCACAUCUCAUCGCCAUGGCUUGCCGCCGCCAUUCUCCUUGGAGGGCCUCGCGCAACUGCAUCGAAUGAUCACCUCUGGUUGGACGCUCCCACCGGUGGACAUCGCCGAGAUCGGAAGCGCCGCCAUGGAGCUCGGCGGCGCCACCGCUCUUCCGUGUUGCGGCCCACGAUCUGAAGCGCCGGCCUCCGCAGUCGAGUCCAUGAAGCUCGGUGGAGCCAUCACAUCUUUCGGUCUCCUCUGCUUUAGGUGGGCUAUUAUUAUUUCUAUCACCGAUCAAACGGCUUGGCAACGGCCUGGUGCUGCGUGCGGCCGGAGUAUACAGGCAUGAGGGCGACCCUGAGGAAGCACAGUCCCAAGGACGCCCUUGCUUGAACUUGUGAGACGGCCAAUGGUGGUUCAACCGAGACGUCUCUCAUUCUUUCAUCUGAUCUCCUAUCUGUAUCUCCUUCUGAUUUUUUUUGCAGUACGUUGCAGCGGUUUGAGGCAAGAGGAGGGCCGGCGACCGGAAUAGGAGCAGUACCCCAGAACUCCAAGCGGCCAGAGAUUCGCCUCUCAUAAUCACUCAUGUUAAGGAACAAGAUGAUAUCAAAACAUUCUUGGAAAGCAGCACAAAAGUAAAUCCUGACCAGCGGAGUGACGUUUGAACUCUCAUACCAGCAAACUGGAUGAGAUAUCCUCCACACUUCCGGUUUUGAAGCAAGUGCGAACAGAUUUGAGGCAACUGAAGGUUUAGAUCUUCAGAAUCUUUACAAACAAGAUGGAGGUACUAUUGCUAUGAUCAUUAAAAUUAUCGAGCUUGUUGAUGGAAAACCAACUCCACUGAAGUCUCCCGAAGUUGGUGACGUCCUCAGAUUCUUCCGUGUGGUGUUUUUUGGGAUCCAUAUCUAGAACGGAGGAAACAACUAGCAGUCAGACAAGAAGAAGUUCAUGGCUUUUCUUACCUUCGAGGUUCAUAAGUGUACCUGCAGUCUCCCAUAUUCAUUGAACUGCUCUUAUCGUCUUAACCGCUAUGGGAACCGUCCCACUGACCAUCUAUCAUUCAUGACCUUAUCAUCGAGGUAGAAGUUUGUAUGUGCAUUACAGGGUUGUUAUCUGGAGAUUUUAAUUUUUUGCAUAUGAUGCUCAAUUUACACGUUUAAAUUGGAUCGAAGAGAGAAGAUUUCAGAAUUUGUUUACUCUUUUGCUUAUUUCUCUACUUCUACGUGCAUGUGAUGGGCUUGGUUGACAUUUUACGAGAAAAAUUGGUUGAUCUUUCAGACAAUACGCCUUUUAAUCAAGCAAAAUAUGCUCAGUCAUUGUACCGUGAAAAAGAAUCAAAUUUGGGAUCAAAGAAGUAGCUAUAACUGGCAUGGUUAUACUUCUUGAGAAAAUAUUAUAAGUUAAUUCUUCUUUUAUUUCUAACUAGAUCUAAUGAGCCUUAUUAAUGUAAUAGAUAGCUUUGCCCCUUGAGAAAAUGGGAUGAACGGGCUCCCUGUUGGAUGUUCUAUGUGGAAACCUAUCCUGAUCUUGAAGUGAAAAUGCCCUGGGAGUCUACAUGGGGCACUACAAUGAAGACUACCAGUGGCCAAGAAUCUUCUGAGAUUGUCAAUGUGGAGGGAUAUGUGGGCGUCAAUGUGGAGAACUAGGGGUGCUCGCAUGGUCAUAAACUCGCCUUUUGAUACGCCAACCAGCAUUGUGACAGAUUGAGGAAUUUGAGAUACGCCGGCCAUCCAUGCAUCAGGCAAAGCCUUGGAACACAAGCACAAUUAUCCUCAAGGAUUUUAUGUGUGCUUUUGAGACCCUUUGUUUUAUUUUCAGACUAUUGUCCACGCCCAUGCUUUGUACCACUGAUGCACCCAUUCUAUCUAACUAUGUACAGGCCAUGAAAUUGGGCUGGUUCUGUUGUAUUUAAUGCUAAAGGAUUUUGGCCUA